CAUUCUCGCGACGAAUCUUUUUGAUCGGACCGAAACUGGACCGUGACCGGAGCGAGACUGGCACUGUAGUGUGAAUAGGUAGCGAUCAAGCAACGAUCAACAUUCCUUCGUUCAGACCAACUAGAAAUGAAAGAAAAAUGACCGAAGCAUGACCGAAGCAUGAACGUUGCUUGAACGAUAGUGUGAAUACUCAAUCUUUUGAUCGGACCGUUACCGGACCGUGACUGGACCUUGACUGGCACUAUAGUGUGAAUCAGGCUUUACUGACCACGUAACCUCCGAGGUCUUUGACAUUUGGAAAUGGAAAUCGAGGAUCUGUGAGUGACUACAAAAUACAUUACAGCAUAUAACACAUUAUGUUAUGACAUAUGGUUUCAAGAAAUGUAUCGAGAUUUCACCUAAUCUACGCAGUAUUGAUAAAGGCGUUCAAAGUUCAUCUGGUUUCAAAAACUCUUCCAUGAGAUAGGUAGGUAGGUAGGUACUUAGGUAGGUAAGUGUACUGCAUAGGUACCUGCCUAUAUUGCAUAAGUAUUACUGAAGAUAAUCGUAGAAUCGAGUUGAAUCGGGUAUAAUAUUACAUAACUAUAAUAUUCAACUGAUGGCCGAAACGACCUCAACCUAUUCUCAAACUUUAAAUGGGUGAGAACCCCGGCUUGCUCGAGAUGUUUGAAGCCGCGGGCCUUGGAUCACUUGAGUGCCAAGUGGGCCAAUUUUGGUAAGCAGAACUGGCGCUGUGGGAUGAACCAAACGCCGAGCUACGGCGACUAAAUCGACGCUCAUUGGAGACCAGAAAAGGCGUUGGUUGCUACCGACAGCAGGGCGGUGGCCAUGGAAGUCGGACAUCCGCUAAGGAGUGUGUAACAACUCACCUGCCGAAGCAACUAGCCCUGAAAAUGGAUGCCGCUGAAGCGUCGUGCCUAUGCUCGGCCGUCAGUGGCAGAGUGGGCUGUCCGGUACGCGUACCGGCCCGGCAGACCCGGUAAGCCCUGACGAGUAGGAGGGCGCAGUGGUGUGCGCAGAAGGGACCGAGCCGUAAGGCCGCCUGGAGCCGCCACUGGUGCAGAUCUUGGUGGUAGUAGCAAAUACUCGAGUGAGAGCCCUGGAGGGCUGAUGUGGAGAAGGGUUCCUUGUGAACAGCCGUUGCACAAGGCUCAGUCGAUCCUAAGUCCUCGCCAAACAGCGAUGCUAUAAGCAGUGGUUCGUGUUGAUUUUGUGUUGUACUACUGGUCUACCAAUAACAGACAACGAAAAUUGUAACCGCCACGGACGAAAGGGGACGCGGUCCCCAUUCCGCUACCUGGACGCGGAACCGCUCUCAUGUUUCGUGGCCCUCGUCCGACGUGUCGCCGCUUCAACGCGCGCGCACGCUCGGCGUAGGCCUCGUCGGGGUAACCCGAAAAGACCCGGAGAAGCUGAGGGGAGCUCCGGGGAGAGUUAUCUUUUCUGUAUCAGCGUUGUAGCUGCCUGGAAUCCUCUAGCAGGGAGAUAGGGAGCCGAACGCGGAGAGCACCGCAGUUGCUGCUGUGUCCGGAGCCUCCCCCUCGGACCGUGAAAAUCCGGGAGAGGGCCACGCGAAGUCUCGCGCCAGGUCGUACUCAUAUCUGCAUCAGGUCUCCGAGGUGAAGAGCCUCUAGUCGUAUAGACUAAUGUAGGUAAGGGAAGUCGGCAAAAUCGAUCCGUAACUUCGGAAUAAGGAUUGGCUCUGAGGAACGUGGUCCGUCGGGCUUGGUCGGGAAGCGGGUUAGCGCCUACGAGCCGGGCCUGUGCGAGGUGAAGUCCGGUUGCCGCGCGGCUUUCGUGCGCGCGCGCGCCCGGGCGCCUUCGGGUGUCCGGUGUGCGUGUCGUGCGGAGUCGCCGGUCGGUUUCGGAUCCGAGCACGGUCCCGUGCCUAGGCACCCCGCGGAGCUUCCUCGCUGCGAGACCCCGGGUUCUGUUGGGCGCGGGGUUCACGCCCCGCGUUCGCACCGGGCGCUUCUCUUCGGCGGCCAUGUAACGGUCAGCUCAGAACUGGCACGGACAAGGGGAAUCCGACUGUCUAAUUAAAACAAAGCAUUGCGAUUGCCCCAAAGGGUGCCUGACGCAAUGUGAUUUCUGCCCAGUGCUCUGAAUGUCAACGUGAAGACAUUCAAGCAAGCGCGGGUAAACGGCAGGAGUAACUAUGACUCUUUUAAGGUAGCCAAAUGCCUCGUCAUCUAAUUAGUGACGCGCAUGAAUGGAUUAACGAGAUUCCCAAUCUGUCCCUAUCUACUAUCUAGCGAAACCACAGCCAGGGGAACGGUCCUGGAAAAAUUAGCGGGGCAAGAAGACCCUGUUGAGCUUGACUCCAGUCUGGCCCUGUACGGAGACAUGAGAGGUGUAGAAUAAGUGGGAGACGGGGUGGCGGUUCACCGUCGGUCGAGUUCGCGCUCGGUCGGCGGUCGCGUGCCCGUCGCCGGUGAAAUACCACUACUCUCAUCGUUUCCUUACUUACUCGAUGAAGCGGAAAGCGUGUGGCUACGCUGUCGGCGGUGUCCGCGGCGGUUCGCGCGGCCGUCCCGCGCGCCGUUUCGGGCCUCCGGGUUCGGAGCGGAUCGCGCGGGCGACGCGGGGUCCGUCGGCCGGGGCCCGUCGGCUUCGCCAUCCAAUCACGGAAUUCUUGAACCGACCCGGUAAGCC
rnacentral:rRNA from 1 species